rnacentral:rRNA from 1 species
UACGGGGGGGGUAAGCGUUGUUCGGAAUUACUGGGCGUAAAGGGCUCGUAGGCGGCCAACUAAGUCAUACGUGAAAUCCCUCAGCUUAACUGGGGAACUGCGUGUGAUACUGGAAGGCUUGAGUAUGGGAGAGGGAUGUAGAAUUCCAGGUGUAGCGGUGAAAUGCGUAGAUAUCUGGAGGAAUACCGGUGGCGAAGGCGGCAUCCUGGACCAUUACUGACGCUGAGGCGCGAAAGCUAGGGGAGCAAACGGG